rnacentral:rRNA from 1 species
UACGGGCGGGCUGGAGUGCGGUAGGGGAGACUGGAAUUCCCGGUGUAACGGUGGAAUGUGUAGAUAUCGGGAAGAACACCAAUGGCGAAGGCAGGUCUCUGGGCCGUUACUGACGCUGAGGAGCGAAAGCGUGGGGAGCGAACAGGAUUAGAUACCCUGGUAGUCCACGCCGUAAACGGUGGAUGCUGGAUGUGGGGCCCGUUCCACGGGUUCCGUGUCGGAGCUAACGCGUUAAGCAUCCCGCCUGGGGAGUACGGCCGCAAGGCUAAAACUCAAAGAAAUUGACGGGGGCCCGCACAAGCGGCGGAGCAUGCGGAUUAAUUCGAUGCAACGCGAAGAACCUUACCUGGGCUUGACAUGUUCCCGACGGUCGUAGAGAUACGGCUUCCCUUCGGGGCGGGUUCACAGGUGGUGCAUGGUCGUCGUCAGCUCGUGUCGUGAGGUGUCGGCUUAAGUCCCGCAACGAGCGCAACCCUCGCCCCGUGUUGCCAGCGGAUUAUGCCGGGAACUCACGGGGGACCGCCGGGGUUAACUCGGAGGAAGGUGGGGAUGACGUCAGAUCAUCAUGCCCCUUACGUCCAGGGCUUCACGCAUGCUACAAUGGCCGGUACAACGGGAUGCGACGCGGCGACGCGGAGCGGAUCCCUGAAAACCGGUCUCAGUUCGGAUCGCAGUCUGCAACUCGACUGCGUGAAGGCGGAGUCGCUAGUAAUCGCGAAUCAGCAACGUCGCGGUGAAUGCGUUCCCGGGCCUUGUACACACCGCCCGUCAAGUCAUGAAAGUGGGCAGCACCCGAAGCCGGUGGCCUAACCCCUUGUGGGAUGGAGCCGUCUAAGGUGAGGCUCGUGAUUGGGACUAAGUCGUAACAAGGUAGCCGUACCGGAAGGUGCGGCUG